CUUAUCCCAUAAACACAAAGGUUUGGUCCUGGCCUUAUAAUUAGUUAGAGGUAAAAUUACACAUGCAAACCUCCAUAAACCGGUGUAAAAUCCCUUAAACAUUUACAUAAACUUUAAGGAGAGGGUAUCAAGCACAUUAAAAUAGCUUAAGACACCUUGCCUAGCCACACCCCCACGGGACUCAGCAGUGAUAAAUAUUAAGCAAUAAACGAAAGUUUGACUAAGUUAUACCUCUUAGGGUUGGUAAAUUUCGUGCCAGCCACCGCGGUCAUACGAUUAACCCAAACUAAUUAUUUUCGGCGUAAAAUGUGUCAACUAUAAAUAAAUAAAUAGAAUUAAAAUCCAACUUAUAUGUGAAAAUUCAUUGUUAGGACCUAAACUCAAUAACGAAAGUAAUUCUAAUCAUUUAUAAUACACGACAGCUAAGACCCAAACUGGGAUUAGAUACCCCACUAUGCUUAGCCAUAAACCUAAAUAAUUAAAUUUAACAAAACUAUUUGCCAGAGAACUACUAGCCAUAGCUUAAAACUCAAAGGACUUGGCGGUACUUUAUAUCCGUCUAGAGGAGCCUGUUCUAUAAUCGAUAAACCCCGCUCUACCUCACCAUCUCUUGCUAAUUCAGCCUAUAUACCGCCAUCUUCAGCAAACCCUAAAAAGGUAUUAAAGUAAGCAAAAGAAUCAAACAUAAAAACGUUAGGUCAAGGUGUAGCCAAUGAAAUGGGAAGAAAUGGGCUACAUUUUCUUUUAAAAGAACAUUACUAUGCCCUUUAUGAAACUAAAGGAUUAAGGAGGAUUUAGUAGUAAAUUAAGAAUAGAGAGCUUAAUUGAAUUGAGCAAUGAAGUACGCACACACCGCCCGUCACCCUCCUCAAAUUAAAUCAAACUUAACAUAAUUAAUUCCUAGACAACCCAUUUAUGAGAGGAGAUAAGUCGUAACAAGGUAAGCAUACUGGAAAGUGUGCUUGGAAUAAUCAUAGUGUAGCUUAAUAUUAAAGCAUCUGGCCUACACCCAGAAGAAUUCAUGACUAAUGGACACUCUGAACUAAUCCUAGCCCUAGCCUUCACAAAUAUAAUUACAUCAUUUCAUAAAUCAAAACAUUUAACCCACUAAAAGUAUUGGAGAAAGAAAUUCGUACAUCUAGGAGCUAUAGAACUAGUACCGUAAGGGAAAGAUGAAAGAUCAAUUAAAAGUAAAAAUAAGCAAAGAUUAAACCUUGUACCUUUUGCAUAAUGAAUUAACUAGAAAACUUCUAACUAAAAGAAUUACAGCUAGAAACCCCGAAACCAAACGAGCUACCUAAAAACAAUUUAAUGAAUCAACUCGUCUAUGUGGCAAAAUAGUGAGAAGAUUUUUAGGUAGAGGUGAAAAGCCUAACGAGCUUGGUGAUAGCUGGUUACCCAAAAAAUGAAUUUAAGUUCAACUUUAAACUUGCUAAAAAAACAAUAAAAUCAAAAAGUAAGUUUAAAUUAUAGCCAAAAGAGGGACAGCUCUUUUGGAACGGAAAAAACCUUUAAUAGUGAAUAAUUAAUAAAUCAACCUUUAACCAUUGUAGGCCUAAAAGCAGCCACCAACAAAGAAAGCGUUCAAGCUCAACAUAAAAUUUUAACUAAUCUCACAAUUUACAUCAACUUCCUAAACUUAAAAUUGGGUUAAUCUAUAAUUUUAUAGAUGCAACACUGUUAGUAUGAGUAACAAGAAUUCUAAUUCUCCAGGCAUACGCAUAUAACAACUCGGAUAACCAUUGUUAGUUAAUCAAACUAUAGGCAAUACUUAUAAUAUAAACAAUUUACCUAUAACUACUCUGUUAACCCAACACCGGAAUGCCUUAAGGAAAGAUCUAAAAAGAUAAAAGGAACUCGGCAAACAAGAACCCCGCCUGUUUACCAAAAACAUCACCUCUAGCAUAACAAGUAUUAGAGGCACUGCCUGCCCAGUGACUAAAGUUUAACGGCCGCGGUAUCCUGACCGUGCAAAGGUAGCAUAAUCACUUGUUCCUUAAUUAGGGACUAGCAUGAAUGGCUAAACGAGGGUUCAACUGUCUCUUAUCUUUAAUCAGUGAAAUUGACCUUUCAGUGAAGAGGCUGAAAUACAAUAAUAAGACGAGAAGACCCUAUGGAGCUUAAAUUACACGACUUAUCUAUUCAUUUUAUAAACCUAAUGGCCCAAAAACUAUAGUGUAAGUCUGAAAUUUCGGUUGGGGUGACCUCGGAGAAUAAAAAAUCCUCCGAAUGAUUAUAACCUAGACCUACAAGUCAAAGUAAAAUCAACAUAUCUUAUUGACCCAAUACAUUUUGAUCAACGGACCAAGUUACCCUAGGGAUAACAGCGCAAUCCUAUUUAAGAGUUCAUAUCGACAAUCAGGGUUUACGACCUCGAUGUUGGAUCAGGACAUCCCAAUGGUGUAGAAGCUAUUAAUGGUUCGUUUGUUCAACGAUUAAAGUCCUACGUGAUCUGAGUUCAGACCGGAGCAAUCCAGGUCGGUUUCUAUCUAUUUACAAUUUCUCCCAGUACGAAAGGACAAGAGAAAUAGAGCCACCUUACAAAUAAGCGCUCUCAACUUAAUUUACGAAUAAAUCUUAAUAAAAUAUGUAUGUACAUCCUCUAACCUAGAGAAGGUUAUUAGGGUGGCAGAGCCAGGAAAUUGCGUAAGACUUAAAACCUUGUUCCCAGAGGUUCAAAUCCUCUCCCUAAUAGUGUUCUUUAUCAACAUUUUAACACUCCUCCUACCUAUCCUAAUCGCUAUGGCU
rnacentral:ncRNA from 1 species